CGGCUCAGAUGCGGAAACCCUCUUUUUUAAUUCCUCUGAGCAUUUAUGUGCUUCUUUUCAGGUCCCACCAGCUGUUAUGCAGUGGCCCAGCCACAAACGUGCAGCCCGUGAUUCCUGGAGGCCAUCCAGGCGGGGUCGUAGAUCGCCAUACAGGUCCUCCUCCAGGCGUCUGCUCGCAGGACUUUCUGGUCCUUUCAGCGGCAAUGUUGGCAACGGGUGGUCACUCCUCAAGCUCCCCCACUCCUGAAAAGCAGUGCAGUUGCAGAGAGAAGAGGCGGGAGCCUUCUGUGGUGACCUAGAGUUGUUUUGUGGAGGAAUUAUUCCUUGCGCUGUUCCUGAGGCAGCACCUGAAGUUCCAUGAAACUUUUUUGCGGUUUCUGCGCUGAUGGGUGGGUUUCAUUUUGCUGGGGCUUGGGGUUCUGGGGUGCAUCAGAAUGAGCUGGUUCAUGUUGGUUAGGGGUCUGAUGGGUGUAGUUGUUCACAAAGGGGGGGGGGGGGGAGAUUACCUAUGGCUUAGGGACUCCCCUGGCUUAUUUAACCCAUCCAAUUCCCUCCACCCCCCUGGGCUCCCUUUUCGUCAGAGCCUCACCGGCACAGUUGGAAGUGAUGCAGCAGCAAUGCCGACAGGGUGCUAAUUGCAGCCAACGAGGAGCGGGUCCUGGCUGACGAGAGUUUCCAGUCCUGGCUUCUGGCUGGGGUGGAGAUAUCUCCGGGGCCGCUGCUGGUGGGGAGCUCUCCUGAUGCCGGUGUACAGCAAAGAGGACAGGUCCCCCUAAAAGAUUAAGCCCCUUCUUCUGUGGGGGGGGGGGGACGGGGACGACUGCGGCAUUGAUGCACUUUGUUUACAGCGAACUUUCUUUGUUUACAGAUGACACAGGAUCUUUCAGUUUUGAAGCUUUUUCCAGGCCAAGUGGUAUGCAGAGACAUGGCUGCAGGACUGGCGUGAUCUGGGCCAUUGUCGGACCUUAAACCUUCUUGAGUUUUUUCCAAUAGUUGUGUCGGUGGAAUUAUGGGGUUCUCACUUUUGUAACAAACAAGUUUGUAUUUUCAUAGACAAUGGGGUUUAUUUACUAACGUGAUCCCUACUUUUUUGUUGGGUUUUGUGCCCAAAUUUGUCGCACGUCUCAUGCAGCACAAUUUGCGACCAAAAAAAAUAGAACCCUCCAUUUUACAAGAAAAACCUGAAAAGGGGGCAUGGCCAUGGGAUAAAGUGGGCGUGGUAUUUACUAUGGUUUCCACAGAAAAUGUGGUGGAUUUGAGAUGAGAAAAACCCGACAGAUCAGGACAGUUGUAAAAAAAGCAAAACAUAGGGAAAAGUGCAAAAUGUAGGGAAACCUUAGUAAAUACCUUGGGAAAAUACCAGUUGGAAAUCAAAACCCACAAAGAAACCUACACUCCACUCUUAGUAUAUAAACCCCAAUGUGGAUGUUGUUCAUUGCAUUAAUGGUCUCGCUUAUUUUUUUUUCCCCUUCCUGUUUUGGCCUUUUGCACAAUUUUGUGUUGCGUUGCCUUGAAUGAAUAUAACAUCUGGUUUCGAUCCCACCAUGCUCCUGCAGGGGUUAAUGUGGUGGCUGAUGUUCUUUCUCAUUUUUUUUUCAGGAGUUUCGAGCUCUGUGUCCGAUCCUGUGACAAGUGGGUUUGUAUUAUCACAGAGAAUGUUAGUGUUGUAUAUUGCAUUAUCCGUUUUACUUCUUUCCUUCCCGUUUUAGCUGUUAUGUUGUGGAUAAUGUGGUUGCUUACGCACUUUCUCGUUUUUGUUUUCAGGAGUUUCGAGCUCGGCGUCCGGAGGAAGCCCUAGAAAGACUUCUGUCCGCUGCACCUACAAGACGUUGUGGGAUCUAUGUCCUAGAGAGGCCCCUGGGUCAUUUAAACCCAGGUAGUUUCGAGCUCAGUGUCUGGAGGACGCCCCAGAAGGGCUUCUGUGUCUGUUGCUCCUAUGGGACAUGAGGAUCAGAAUCCGCUGACAUAGUGAGGAGCCAUCUGGGCGUCACAUUCUGCAGAGAGAAGAUUUAGCUGGACCCGGUGAGCUGGAGUCACUUGUAAAUUUUGCAGUAAUGAUGGGUGAAACAACAACUCCCAGCAUCUCCUCACCACUACUUAGGUCAUGCUUGGAGCUGUACUUUAAAAUGAGUUUUGAGCUUUCUGCCCGGAGGCGGCCCUGGAAGGACUUCUGUGCACUCUUCUCCUAUGGGACGUGGUGAGGAAGGCCUAAUGCCUCUCAUUACGGCUUCGGGGAUGUCAGCUACAUGGUCUGGACACGGUUUUGUUUGCUGGCUGGUGGCACGCCGAUUGGAAAACACUGCGCUAGACUGUGUUUCUACAUGAUAUGAUGUUCUGUCGCUCGACCCCAUGGUCGUUGUACCCGCUGCAUAUGGAUAGUUUGAUUUAUCUGAAUAUGUUUGGAAAUAUUGAAAAAUAAAGAAUAAAUAAAAAAUGGAAUUUUUCGAAUAAUAUUUUCUAAAGCUGUUACAAGGUUCAACUUCAAUAAAUCUUCAG